UCCUCUUCAUUUUCCUUUAUUCGGUCUUCAUUUGUACAGCUGCCCAAUUAGCCACAACUCCCUAGGAAAAGCUGAACAGUUCUCCUCUCUUGUCACAGAUGAAAGCUUUGCUGUACCAACUAUUGAUGCCGCUACCCAAGUGAAAUUCCUCUUUCUUCAUUUUAUUACUUCUCCAUAGUAUUUGCAAAUCCCACUAAGAAGCACACCUUUCCUGGAAAA